AUUGAACGCUGGCGGCAGGCCUAACACAUGCAAGUCGAACGGUAACAGGAAGCAGCUUGCUGCUUCGCUGACGAGUGGCGGACGGGUGAGUCAUGUCUGGGAAACUGCCUGAUGGAGGGGGAUAACUACUGGAAACGGUAGCUAAUACCGCAUAACGUCGCAAGACCAAAGAGGGGGACCUUAGGGCCUCUUGCCAUCGGAUGUGCCCAGAUGGGAUUAGCUAGUAGGUGGGGUAACGGCUCACCUAGGCGACGAUCCCUAGAUGGUCUGAGAGGAUGACCAGCCACACUGGAACUGAGACACGGUCCAGACUCCUACGGGAGGCAGCAGUGGGGAAUAUUGCACAAUGGGCGCAAGCCUGAUGCAGCCAUGCGGCGUGUAUGAAGAAGGCCUUCGUGUUGUAAAGUACUUUCAGCGGGGAGGAAGGGCGUAAAGUUAAUACCUUUGCUCAUUGACGUUACCCGCAGAAGAAGCACCGGCUAACUCCGUG
rnacentral:rRNA from 1 species